UUCCCUCAGUAACGGCGAGUGAAGUGGGAAGAGCCCAAAUUUGUAAUCUGGCUUUCUUUACGGAAGUCUGAGUUGUAAUUUGAAGAACUGUUUUCAGUGCUGGACCAUAUACAAGUCUGCUGGAAGGCAGCAUCAUUGAAGGUGAUAAUCCUGUACAUGAUAUGGACAAUAUACCAGUGCAUUAUGAUACAGUCUCUAAGAGUCGAGUUGUUUGGGAAUGCAGCUCAAAAUGGGUGGUAAAUUCCAUCUAAGGCUAAAUAUGGGCCAGAGACCGAUAGCAAACAAGUACCGUGAGGGAAAGAUGAAAAGAACUUUGGAAAGAGAGUUAACAGUGCGUGAAAUUGCCAAAAGGGAAACAUUUAAAGUUGUCCUUGUUCUUGUUGAAUCAGCCCUUUUAUUAGGGUGUAUUUUGAUGAUGAACAGAUCAACAUCAAUUUACUUUAUGCUAGAAAAGGGUUUGAGGAAUGUAGCAGUUUCACUACUGUGUUAUAGCCUCUAGCUUGAUGUAGUGAAAGGGAUUGAGGAUGUAUGUGCAGUAAGCCCAUUUUUUAAUAAUGGGUGGACCUUUUAGGAGGUCUUCUUACUGAAGAUGUUGGUAUAAUAGCUUUAAAUGACCCGUCUUGAAACACGGACCAAGGAGUCUAACAUGGUUGCGAGUAUUUGGGUGUUGAAACCCUUUUGCGUAAUGAAAGUGAAGCUUAUAAAAUGGGAUCUUUUAUCAAAGAGAGUGCACCAUUGACCGGUCCAGAUUAUUUAUAUGAUGGUACUGAGUAAGAGCAAGUAUGUUGGGACCCGAAAGAUGGUGAACUAUGCUUGAAUAGGGUGAAGCCAGAGGAAACUCUGGUGGAAGCUCGUAGCGGUUCUGACGUGCAAAUCGAUCGUAGAAUUUGAGUAUAGGGGCGAAAGACUAAUCGAACCAUCUAGUAGCUGGUUCCUGCCGAAG
rnacentral:rRNA from 1 species